UACGAAGGGGGCUAGCGUUGCUCGGAAUCACUGGGCGUAAAGGGUGCGUAGGCGGGUUUUUAAGUCAGGGGUGAAAUCCUGGAGCUCAACUCCAGAACUGCCUUUGAUACUGAAGAUCUUGAGUCCGGGAGAGGUGAGUGGAACUGCGAGUGUAGAGGUGAAAUUCGUAGAUAUUCGCAAGAACACCAGUGGCGAAGGCGGCUCACUGGCCCGGUACUGACGCUGAUGUGCGAAAGCGUGGGGAGCAAACAGA
rnacentral:rRNA from 1 species